CAUUCAAAACUACGAUUUUUAAUUAUAAGCAUGAACGGUUCAGGUCUGGCAGAUUUGGUUCGUUCAUUGAUUUAAUCUUGUUCGACAUCUUAACGAUCACCAAAUUGGCUGAAAAUUUGCAGAAUUGAUCUAUAUAUAAGGACCAACAAAUUGAACGGUAGAGAUUCAAAAAUAUAAUCGAAAAGUUGGUGUAAUCCCCCAUCCCUCAUAUAUGUCAAAAAA
rnacentral:lncRNA from 1 species